rnacentral:rRNA from 1 species
GACCUCAAAUCAGGUAAGAACACCCGCUGAACUUAAGCAUAUCAAUAAGCGGAGGAAAAGAAAAUAACAAUGAUUCCCCUAGUAACUGCGAGUGAAGAGGGAUAAGCUCAAAUUUUAAAUCUAUCGGGUUUUACCUGAUCGAGUUGUAAUUUGAAGAGGCGUUUUCUGCGUGUUUGGUCAGCCUAAGUCCUAUUGAAUGAGGCAUCAUGGAGGGUGAUAAUCCCGUCCGGUUGAUCAUUUGCGUUUUACGAUACGCUUUCUAAGAGUCAAGUUGUUUGGGAUUGCAGCUUAAAAUGGGAGGUAAAUUUCUCCUAAGGCUAAAUAACGGCGAGAGACCGAUAGCGAACAAGUACCGUGAGGGAAAGAUGAAAAGAACUUUGAAAAGAGAGUUAAACAGUACGUGAAAUUGUUGAAAGGGAAACGAUUGAAGCCAGUCGUACCUUCGGGUAAUCAGCCUUUCGGGUGCGAUUCUGUGGAGUGUGAGGAGCUUAACACCUUCAUGCUUUGCAUAUUUGUGCUCUUGGGUGUACUUGCCCGUGUGGUUGGUUAACAUCAAUUUUGGUUAUCAUAAAAUGAUUGGAGGAAUGUAGCUUCGAUCUUGUAUUGAAGUGUUAUAGCCUUCGGUAAAUGUGAUGAACGAGAUUGAGGAUUGCAACGGAUACCCUUCGGGGCUACCUGUCUGGUCUCUGAUCGUUGCUCUGGUGCCGAAAGCUUGCUUACGGUCAUCAAAGUCGAUGGUCAAUAGGUUAGAACGGGUUAAAUUCGUUAAGGAUGUUGACGUAAUGGCUUUAAACGACCCGUCUUGAAACACGGACC